UACAGAGGGGGCUAGCGUUAUUCGGAAUUAUUGGGCGUAAAGGGCGCGUAGGCGGCCACGCGUGUCUUUCGUGAAAUCCCUCGGCUUAACUGAGGACGUGCGGAAGAAACUGCGAGGCUUGAGUCCGGGAGAGGGGGGUGGAAUUCCCAGUGUAGCGGUGAAAUGCGUAGAUAUCGGGAGGAACACCAGUGGCGAAGGCGGCGACCUGGGCCAAUACUGACGCUGAGGUGCGAAAGCGUGGGGAGCAAACAGG
rnacentral:rRNA from 1 species